rnacentral:rRNA from 1 species
GACGAACGCUGGCGGCGUGCUUAACACAUGCAAGUCGAACGGAAAGGCCCUGCUUUUGUGGGGUGCUCGAGUGGCGAACGGGUGAGUAACACGUGAGUAACCUGCCCUUGACUUUGGGAUAACUUCAGGAAACUGGGGCUAAUACCGGAUAGGAGCUCCUGCUGCAUGGUGGGGGUUGGAAAGUUUCGGCGGUUGGGGAUGGACUCGCGGCUUAUGAGCUUGUUGGUGGGGUAGUGGCUGACCAAGGCUGUGACGGGUAGGCGGCCUGAGAGCGGGACCAGCGUCCAGGGUCCUACGAGACGGAGCAGAAGGGUAUCGUAGGCAGCGGGCGGAAGUCUGACAGAGCGGCCGCGAGCGUGUGAUGGAGGUGCUCGGAGCGGGAUGACGGGUUACGGGUGAUAAACAGCUUUGGACUUUGCCGAGGCGGUAUUGACGGUACUGGAUAAGAAAGCAACGGCUAACUACGUG